UAGGGAAUCUUCCACAAUGGACGAAAGUCUGAUGGAGCAACGCCGCGUGAGUGAAGAAGGUUUUCGGAUCGUAAAGCUCUGUUGUUGGUGAAGAAGGAUAGAGGCAGUAACUGGUCUUUAUUUGACGGUAAUCAACCAGAAAGUCACGGCUAACUACGUGCCAGCAGCCGCGGUAAUACGUAGGUGGCAAGCGUUGUCCGGAUUUAUUGGGCGUAAAGCGAGCGCAGGCGGAAUGAUAAGUCUGAUGUGAAAGCCCACGGCUCAACCGUGGAACUGCAUCGGAAACUGUCAUUCUUGAGUGCAGAAGAGGAGAGUGGAACUCCAUGUGUAGCGGUGGAAUGCGUAGAUAUAUGGAAGAACACCAGUGGCGAAGGCGGCUCUCUGGCCUGCAACUGACGCUGAGGCUCGAAAGCAUGGGUAGCGAACAGGAUUAGAUACCCUGGUAGUCCAUGC
rnacentral:rRNA from 1 species